rnacentral:rRNA from 1 species
UACGAAGGGGGCGAGCGUUGUUCGGAAUUACUGGGCGUAAAGCGCGCGCAGGCGGCCUUUUAAGUCUGACGGUGAAAUGCCGGGGCUCAACCCCGUGCCCGCCGGAGAUACUGGGAGGCUGGAGACGAGUAGAGGCAAGCGGAAUUCCGGGUGUAGCGGUGGAAUGCGUAGAGAUCCGGAAGAACACCGGAGGCGAAGGCGGCUUGCUGGGCUCGGUCUGACGCUGAGGCGCGAAAGCGUGGGGAGCGAACAGG